rnacentral:rRNA from 1 species
GAUGAACGCUAGCGGCAGGCUUAACACAUGCAAGUCGAGGGGUAACAGGAGUGCUUGCACUUGCUGACGACCGGCGCACGGGUGCGUAACGCGUAUACAAUCUACCUUAUGCUGAGGGAUAGCCCAGAGAAAUUUGGAUUAAUACCUCAUAGUAUCAUAAAGCUGCAUAGUUUAAUGAUUAAAGGUUACGGCAUAAGAUGAGUAUGCGUCCUAUUAGUUUGUUGGUGUGGUAACGGCACACCAAGACUACGAUAGGUAGGGGCCCUGAGAGGGGGAUCCCCCACACUGGUACUGAGACACGGACCAG